rnacentral:rRNA from 1 species
AAUGGGGGGAACCCUGAUCCAGCCAUGCCGCGUGUGUGAAGAAGGCCUUUUGGUUGUAAAGCACUUUAAGUGGGGAGGAGGCUUACCUGGUUAAUACCUGGGCUAAGUGGACGUUACCCACAGAAUAAGCACCGGCUAACUCUGUGCCAGCAGCCGCGGUAAUACAGAGGGUGCGAGCGUUAAUCGGAUUUACUGGGCGUAAAGCGCGCGUAGGUGGUUAAUUAAGUCAAAUGUGAAAUCCCCGAGCUUAACUUGGGAAUUGCAUUCGAUACUGGUUAGCUAGAGUAUGGGAGAGGAUGGUAGAAUUCCAGGUGUAGCGGUGAAAUGCGUAGAGAUCUGGAGGAAUACCGAUGGCGAAGGCAGCCAUCUGGCCUAAUACUGACACUGAGGUGCGAAAGCAUGGGGAGCAAACAGGAUUAGAUACCCUGGUAGUCCAUGCCGUAAACGAUGUCUACUAGCCGUUGGGGGAUUUGAUCCUUUAGUGGCGCAGCUAACGCGAUAAGUAGACCGCCUGGGGAGUAC